UGAGGAAUAUUGGUCAAUGGACGAGAGUCUGAACCAGCCAAGUAGCGUGAAGGAUGACUGCCCUAUGGGUUGUAAACUUCUUUUAUACGGGAAUAAAGUUAGCCACGUGUGGCUUUUUGUAUGUACCGUAUGAAUAAGGAUCGGCUAACUCCGUGCCAGCAGCCGCGGUAAUACGGAGGAUCCGAGCGUUAUCCGGAUUUAUUGGGUUUAAAGGGAGCGUAGGCGGGUUGUUAAGUCAGUUGUGAAAGUUUGCGGCUCAACCGUAAAAUUGCAGUUGAUACUGGCGACCUUGAGUGCAACAGAGGUAGGCGGAAUUCGUGGUGUAGUGGUGAAAUGCUUAGAUAUCACGAAGAACUCCGAUUGCGAAGGCAGCUUACUGGAUUGUAACUGACGCUGAUGCUCGAAAGUGUGGGUAUCAAACAGGAUUAGAUACCCUGGUAGUCCACACGGUAAACGAUGAAUACUCGCUGUAGGCGAUAUACAGUCUGCGGCCAAGCGAAAGCAUUAAGUAUUCCACCUGGGGAGUACGCCGGCAACGGUGAAACUCAAAGGAAUUGACGGGGGCCCGCACAAGCGGAGGAACAUGUGGUUUAAUUCGAUGAUACGCGAGGAACCUUACCCGGGCUUAAAUUGCAACCGAAUAUGGCGGAAACGCUAUAGCUAGCAAUAGCGGUUGUGAAGGUGCUGCAUGGUUGUCGUCAGCUCGUGCCGUGAGGUGUCGGCUUAAGUGCCAUAACGAGCGCAACCCUUGCCGAUAGUUACUAACAGGUUAUGCUGAGGACUCUGUCGGGACUGCCAUCGUAAGAUGUGAGGAAGGUGGGGAUGACGUCAAAUCAGCACGGCCCUUACGUCCGGGGCUACACACGUGUUACAAUGGGGGGUACAGAGGGCUGCUACCACGCAAGUGGAUGCCAAUCCCAAAAACCUCUCUCAGUUCGGAUUGAAGUCUGCAACCCGACUUCAUGAAGCUGGAUUCGCUAGUAAUCGCGCAUCAGCCACGGCGCGGUGAAUACGUUCCC
rnacentral:rRNA from 2 species